UCUUUACAUGAUUAAAGCUCAGGGUGGAAGCCAAUGAAAUUCUGAGAGUCAGAAGUGUGCUAUGUUCAUGGCAGGACUUCUGUUCACACCAGUAGAGCUUGCCUCUCUGGCUGGAGUUUGAUAGUACUCUCUGCCACAUUA